rnacentral:rRNA from 1 species
UACGUAGGGUGCGAGCGUUGUCCGGAAUUAUUGGGCGUAAAGAGCUUGUAGGUGGUUUGUCGCGUCUGCUGUGAAAAUCCGAGGCUCAACCUCGGACUUGCAGUGGGUACGGGCAGACUAGAGUGUGGUAGGGGAGACUGGAAUUCCUGGUGUAGCGGUGAAAUGCGCAGAUAUCAGGAGGAACACCGGUGGCGAAGGCGGGUCUCUGGGCCGAUACUGACGCUGUGGCGCGAAAGCUAGGGGAGCAAACGGG